rnacentral:tRNA from 1 species
GCCCGGGUGGCGGAACGGUAGACGCAAGGGACUUAAAAUCCCUCGGGAGUAAUCCCGUGCCGGUUCAAAUCCGGCCCCGGGCACCA